GCACCUGCCUGUAAGAUCGGGAUAACGCCGGGAAACCGGGGCUAAUACCGGAUAGUUUUUUCUUCCGCAUGGAGGAAAAAGGAAAGACGGCUUCUGCUGUCACUUACAGAUGGGCCCGCGGCGCAUUAGCUAGUUGGUGGGGUAACGGCUCACCAAGGCAACGAUGCGUAGCCGACCUGAGAGGGUGAUCGGCCACAUUGGGACUGAGACACGGCCCAAACUCCUACGGGAGGCAGCAGUAGGGAAUCUUCCGCAAUGGACGAAAGUCUGACGGAGCAACGCCGCGUGAGUGAAGAAGGCCUUCGGGUCGUAAAACUCUGUUGCCGGGGAAGAACAAGUGCCGUUCGAACAGGGCGGCGCCUUGACGGUACCCGGCCAGAAAGCCACGGCUAACUACGUGCCAGCAGCCGCGGUAAUACGUAGGUGGCAAGCGUUGUCCGGAAUUAUUGGGCGUAAAGCGCGCGCAGGCGGCUUCUUAAGUCUGAUGUGAAAUCUUGCGGCUCAACCGCAAGCGGUCAUUGGAAACUGGGAGGCUUGAGUGCAGAAGAGGAGAGUGGAAUUCCACGUGUAGCGGUGAAAUGCGUAGAGAUGUGGAGGAACACCAGUGGCGAAGGCGGCUCUCUGGUCUGUAACUGACGCUGAGGCGCGAAAGCGUGGGGAGCAAACAGGAUUAGAUACCCUGGUAGUCCACGCCGUAAACGAUGAGUGCUAAGUGUUAGAGGGUUUCCGCCCUUUAGUGCUGCAGCUAACGCAUUAAGCACUCCGCCUGGGGAGUACGGCCGCAAGGCUGAAACUCAAAGGAAUUGACGGGGGCCCGCACAAGCGGUGGAGCAUGUGGUUUAAUUCGAAGCAACGCGAAGAACCUUACCAGGUCUUGACAUCCUCUGACCUCCCUGGAGACAGGGCCUUCCCCUUCGGGGGACAGAGUGACAGGUGGUGCAUGGUUGUCGUCAGCUCGUGUCGUGAGAUGUUGGGUUAAGUCCCGCAACGAGCGCAACCCUUGACCUUAGUUGCCAGCAUUCAGUUGGGCACUCUAAGGUGACUGCCGGUGACAAACCGGAGGAAGGUGGGGAUGACGUCAAAUCAUCAUGCCCCUUAUGACCUGGGCUACACACGUGCUACAAUGGAUGGUACAAAGGGCUGCGAGACCGCGAGGUUAAGCCAAUCCCAGAAAACCAUUCCCAGUUCGGAUUGCAGGCUGCAACCCGCCUGCAUGAACGCCGG
rnacentral:rRNA from 1 species